GAUUAAUGCAGAUGCUUCUUUAAGUUUGAUGUAUUUUAUAGGGUGGUAUCUGGUCUUGGUUUUGAACAUGAUAGUAGUGUUGUUUUCAAUUGGCAAAUGCAAGUUAUGUAGGCUGGUUUUGAGCAUGCUAUAGUAGUGUUCUUGAGGAUCUUGAAAUACUUCAAUUGAUAUCAUGUCUUGAUGCAUGCUUUGAUUAUAAUAGAAUGAUGUAUUUUAUUGAUGUAUUUUUAAGCUCAGAUUAUCAUGAUAACAUUUUAAAUUAAUUAGAAGAUUACCAACUAAUUAUUUGCUAUAGUGGCAUCUUAAAUUACUUAUGCAGGCAGCAUCGUUUGAGAGUUGAGACAUAUAUCCUUCUCUAAUCUCUUUGUUGUUUCCCCUGUUUUCAUUGAACUUUUUAUUCUAUUAAUAUUUGAUAAGAAAUUUCUUUUUGGACUUGUUUAAGUUAGCAUUUAUACUAAUGUCUUUUUGAAAUUGUUUCAGAGUGCUGUAUAAACAAGUAUAACUAGAAGAAUAUGAAA
rnacentral:lncRNA from 1 species